rnacentral:lncRNA from 1 species
UGUAGACUCAGAUAAACCAGUUCAAGGCAGAUAUUGGGUAUUUUCUGUUUUGAUAUUCUGUGUUAUAUGGCAGUAUGAAUUCAGAUAAUCCAGUUCUCUGCCUUGAUAUUCUGGGUUAUAUGGCAGUGUAGACGCAGAUAAACCAGUUCAAGGCAGAUAUUGGGUAUUUUCUGUUUUGAUAUUCUGUGUUAUAUGGCAGUAUGAAUUCAGAUAAUCCAGUUCUCUGCCUUGAUAUUUUGGGUUAUAUGGCAGUGUAGACUCAGAUAAACCAGUUCAAGGCAGAUAUUGGGUAUUUUCUGUUUUGAUAUUCUGUGUUAUAUGGCAGUAUGAAUUCAGAUAAUCCAGUUCUCUGCCUUGAUAUUUUGGAUUAUAUGGCAGUGUAGACUCAGAUAAACCAGUUCAAGGCAGAUAUUGGGUAUUUUCUGUUUUGAUAUUCUGUGUUAUAUGGCAGUAUGGAUUCAGAUAAUCCAGUUCUCUGCCUUGCUAUUCUGGGUUAUAAAGCAGUGUGGACUCAGAUAAUCCAGUUCUCUGCUUUGAUAUUCUGGGUUAUAUGGUUGUGUGGAAUGGCCUUCUCUUUUUAUAAACCCACUCGCAGCAUCCUCCACUUUGCUCUGCAGAACCACCUCUGACAGGUUAAAACGUGAAGCCUCUUUUUCUGAAUACAUACCCCGGCAUGCAACACUCUCCAAAAGGCAUCAAGCGCCCCAAGACUACAAGUCCCGUGAUGCUUUGGGGCAAAGGAGCCGGCUCUCUCAGCCUCCCUUCUGCCGCAUUGCCUCUUUGGGAGACGUCGUUCUUUGGCGCGACGGAGCUUGACGCAUGCGCCGUGAUCGGGAGAGGCAGUUCCUGUCUGUAGGCUUGGCCGAGGCAAUAAAGUUUCUGCUGUGCGGAGGAAAGGAAGGGAAAGCUCGGAGGGGGAAGGAACGCAGGGGCGGCAGGGCCGGUUUCCUGGCAGGAAUUUCCCGGGGUUUGAGUGAAUGGUUCAGGUCCACACUAUUUGGCUGACCGGAUCCUCUUGUACGAACCUGCCCAAGCCCUGAGAUCUUCAGAAGAAGCUCUUCUCUUGAUCCCACCUCCAUCUCAAGCCUGGUUAGUAGUAAUCGGAGAACAGGCCUUCCCAAUAGCUGCCCUCAACUCUAGAACUCCAUGCCCAGGGAAGCCAGAAUGGCCCCCUCCUUGCUGUCCUUCCAGCAGUAGGCUUAUUCAGGCAGACUUUUAAAGAUGAAAGUUUUUAAGAUCAAUUCAAGGGAUGCUGUGGUUUUUAACUUUGAACAUGUUUUAAUGGCUUUUAACUGGGAUUUUUAAAACACUGU